rnacentral:rRNA from 1 species
AACGAACGCUGGCGGCGUGCCUAAUACAUGCAAGUCGAACGAGAAAGUGUAGCAAUACAUGAGUAAAGUGGCAGACGGGUGAGUAAUACACAGGUAACCUACCUUCAAGAUGGGGAUAACCUUCCGAAAGGAGGGCUAAUACCGAAUGAGACCACAGCCACUACGGUGGAAGGGGUCAAAGGAUGGCCUCUACUUGUAAGCUAUCGCUUGAAGAUGGGCUUAUGCACCAUUAGCUUGUUGGUGAGGUAACGGCUCACCAAGGCUUUGAUGGUUAGCUGAUCUAAGAGGUUGAUCAGCCACACUGGAACUGAGACACGGUCCAGACUCCUACGGGAGGCAGCAGUGGGGAAUAUUGGACAAUGGGCGAAAGCCUGAUCCAGCCAUGCCGCGUGUGUGAAGAAGGUCUUCGGAUUGUAAAGCACUUUAAGUUGGGAGGAAGGGCAGUAGGUUAAUACCUUGCUGUUUUGACGUUACCAACAGAAUAAGCACCGGCUAACUUCGUGCCAGCCGCCGCCGUAA